AUCCGAGUUCUCAGAAGAUGGGGCUUUAAAAUUCGUCGGUUACCGCUCAAAUUGGGUGUUCUGUGGCUGGUCGGCUUUUCUCUUUUGUCAAAUCUUUGGAAUUUAGUUUUCUCAGAGAAAAAAAAUUUCAUUUGAUUUAUACAGAAUCUCUCGUCCUCCCUGAUUCUUGCUGAUAUCACAGAUUUCCCGGCCGUUUCUUCUCCUCCUGAAAUGAAAUGGGCAAUGCAGAAGCGCCCGAGGAGGAGCAGAGGCAAUUCAAGCCCAUAACAAACCAAUCCCCAAAACCCUUCUCCUUUUGGCUCUUCUGGUGACUUUAAAGUGACUCUACCUGCUGGGUUCGCUUAUACUAAGUCAGUCUUCAUUAAUAUGAUAAGCAGCAACUACGGAAGUAGUAAGCAGUAGCAGUAGCAGUAGCUAUAGUAGUAGCAGCAUCGGCAGCAGCAGCCGUAGCAUCACAGUAGUGGUGGUGAGUAAAAUGGAAUCCGGUAGCGGCGGUUGGUCCGGCGAGGAGCCAGAUGUCUCUGAUCCUCAAAGGAAUAAAAAGCGAUACCAUAGACACACAGCUCGUCAGAUUCAAGAACUUGAAGCGGUUUUCAAGGAGUGUCCACACCCGGACGAAAAUCAACGAAGCCAGUUGACCAGGAAUUUGGGGCUAGAACCUCGCCAGAUCAAGUUCUGGUUUCAAAACAGGAGGACCCAGAUGAAGGCACAACAUGAGCGUGCGGAUAAUUGUGCUCUAAGGGCAGAAAAUGAUAAGAUACGAUGUGAAAACGUAGCAAUUAGAGAGACAAUGAAGAAUGUAAUGUGCCCCAAUUGUGGGGCUUCUCCGGUUGGAGAAGAUUCUUAUUUCGAUGAACAGAGACUGCGAAUGGAGAAUGCCCGAUUGAAAGAAGAGGUUGAAAGAGUAUCAAGCAUAGCGUCAAGAUACAUUGGUAGACCUUUCUCACAAUUCCCACCCAUGCAACCAUUUCCAACCUCCCCAUUGGAUUUAUCUGUUGGGAGUUUUGGAGGUCAGCCAAUUGGGGGACUAUCCCUUGAUCUCGAACUUCUUCCUGGAAGCUCGUCCUCUGUUCCCUCAUUGACAUUGCAGACAAACAUCUCAGAUAUGGAGAAGUCACUUAUGGCAGAGGUUGCUGCCAAUGCCUUCCAAGAAUUGUUCAGGCUUUCCGAGAUGAAUGAGUCAUUAUGGAUGAAGUCUCCAAUUGAUGGGAAAGAUGUGCUUAGUAUUGAAAACUAUGAGAAGAUAUUCCCAAAACCAAACAAGUUGAAAAAUCCCAAUAUUCGGGUAGAGUCUUCAAGAGCUUAUGGUGAGGUGAUGAUGAAUGGAAUGGCAUUGGUUGAAAUGUUUAUGGACUCUAACAAAUGGGCUGACCUAUUCCCUACAAUUGUCUCCAAGGCAAAGACAAUUGAGGUGCUGACAUUUGGAAUUGGGGGAAGCAGGAGCAGUUCCCUGCAACUAAUGUAUACAGAAAUGCAGGUGCUCUCCCCAUUGAUUCCUACUCGAGAAUCCUACUUUCUCCGUUACUGUCAGCCAAUUGAUCAAGGCUUCUGGGCUAUAACAGAUGUCUCCUUUGACUUAUCCCAAGAGAUCCAGUUUGGUUCACCUUCUCGCGCUUGGAAGUUUCCUUCUGGAUGUUUGAUUCAAGACAUGCCCAAUGGAUACUCCAAAGUGUCUUGGGUGGAACAUGUGGAAGUAGAAGACAAGAAUCCAAUUCAUCGGAUUUACAGAGAUCUUGUUCAAAAUGGAAUGGCAUUUGGAGCUGCACGAUGGAUUAGCACUCUUCAAAGAAUGUGUGAGAGAUUUGCUUGUCUGAUGGUGAUGAGUUCACCAAAUCGAGACAUCAGUGGAGUAAUUCUCUUACCAGAAGGUAAGAGAAGCGUGAUGAAACUUGCCCAAAGAAUGGUUAACAACUUCUGCACGAGCAUUAGUGCAUCGAGUGAUCACAGAUGGACCACACUUUCUGGCUUGCAUGAUGUUGGGGUUAGAGUCACAGUUAACAAAAGCUCAGAUCCAGGCCAUCCCAAUGGUGUAGUCCUCAGUGCAGCAACCUCUCUGUGGCUUCCAGUACCUCCACAUGAUGUCUUCGAAUUCUUUAAGGACCAAAAAAAUAGAUCUCAGUGGGAUGUACUCUCCAAUGGCAACUCAAUGAAGGAGAUUUCGAAAAUUGCAAAUGGGUCAGAUACUGGCAAUUGUAUUUCAAUUUUCCGCGCUUUCAAUGCGAGCCAGAAUAACGUGUUGAUACUUCAAGAGAGCUGUACAGACCCAUCUGGAUCGGUUGUCGUCUAUGCCCCUAUUGAUAUCCAGGGAAUUAACGUAGCAAUGAGUGGGGAAGACACCACAUAUAUCCCCCUACUUCCAUCAGGUUUCACCAUCUCUCCUGAUGGCAAGGGAGACCAAGGAGGAGGAGCAGGGCCAUCGACAAGCUCAAAUGUGCAAGGGAGCAGGUCAGGUGGUGGUUCACUGAUAACGGUGGGAUUUCAAAUGCUUGUGAGCAGCUUGCCAUCUGCAAAGCUGAACCUGGAGUCGGUGACAACCGUUAAUAACCUUAUCAGCUCAACUGUCCACCAAAUAAAAGCUGCCUUGAAUUGCUCCAGUUCCAGUUCCUGAUAGAGCUGCAAAGGCUGGCAUAUAUAGUUCUCUGCUCCCCCAUCUCCAACCUUCUUAAAUAUACUGGUCAGAAGAUCUCAGAGCUCCUGCUGUUAAGUAGAGGAAGUCAAGAACGCACCAUAGCCGUCCUUCAUUGCUGUGUGGACUCUUUUAAAUCUCCCCCAUUUUGCUUAGAAUCUACCUCUCUCCUCUGUAUCCUUUUUGGCUUCUUUCAUCAUCACUGGCCACGCAGCAAGGGUAAUGGUUCGGGUAUUGACUUCUGUUCAGGGACAUCAGUUUCAUAUAGAAUAUGUUGUCUCUUAAAUAGGAUAGUCUCCCUUAUUUAUUCUGUUCUGUCUGCUUUAGUUUGGUUAUAAUAGAUAUAGAAGUUAUUUUAGACAUUUAAAUAAA